UACGAAGGGGGCUAGCGUUGCUCGGAAUUACUGGGCGUAAAGGGUGCGUAGGCGGGUUUUUGAGUCAGGGGUGAAAUCCUGGAGCUCAACUCCAGAACUGCCUUUGAUACUGAAAGUCUUGAGUAUGGGAGAGGUGAGUGGAACUGCGAGUGUAGAGGUGAAAUUCGUAGAUAUUCGCAAGAACACCAGUGGCGAAGGCGGCUCACUGGCCCAUUACUGACGCUGAGGCACGAAAGCGUGGGGAGCAAACAGG
rnacentral:rRNA from 1 species